rnacentral:rRNA from 1 species
AUGAACGCUGGCGGCGUGCCUAAUACAUGCCAGUCGAGCGAACGGACGAGAAGCUUGCUUUUCUGAUGUUAGCGGCGGACGGGUGAGUAACACGUGGAUAACCUACCUAUAAUACUGGGAUAACUUCGGGAAACCGGAGCUAAUACCGGAUAAUAUUUUGAACCGCAUGGUUCAAAAGUGAAAGACGGUCUUGCUGUCACUUAUAGAUGGAUCCGCGCUGCAUUAGCUAGUUGGUAAGGUAACGGCUUACCAAGGCAACGAUGCAUAGCCGACCUGAGAGGGUGAUCGGCCACACUGGAACUGAGACACGGUCCAGACUACUACGGGAGGCAGCAGUAGGGAAUCUUCCGCAAUGGGCGAAAGCCUGACGGAGCGACGCCGCGUGAGUGAUGAAGGUCUUCGGAUCGUAAAACUCUGUUAUUAGGGAAGAACAUAUGUGUAAGUAACUGUGCACAUCUUGACGGUACCUAAUCAGAAAGCCACGGCUAACUACGUG